UCCUACGGGACGCAGCAGUGGGGAAUAUUGCACAAUGGGGGAAACCCUGAUGCAGCGACGCCGCGUGAGCGAGGAAGUAUUUCGGUAUGUAAAGCUCUGUCAGCAGGGAAGAAGAAUGACGGUACCUGAAGAAGAAGCACCGGCUAAAUACGUGCCAGCAGCCGCGGUAAUACGUAUGGUGCAAGCGUUAUCCGGAUUUACUGGGUGUAAAGGGAGCGUAGACGGCAGUGCAAGUCUGAAGUGAAAGGCAAGGGCUCAACCCUUGGACUGCUUUGGAAACUGUGCUGCUGGAGUGUCGGAGAGGC
rnacentral:rRNA from 1 species